rnacentral:rRNA from 1 species
CCUACGAGUGACAGCAGUGAGGAAUAUUGGUCAAUGGGCGUAAGCCUGAACCAGCCAAGUCGCGUGAGGGAUGAAGGUUCUAUGGAUCGUAAACCUCUUUUAUAAGGUAAUAAAGUGUGGGACGUGUCCUAUUUUGUAUGUACCUUAUGAAUAAGGAUCGGCUAACUCCGUGCCAGCAGCCGCGGCAAUACGGAGGAUCCGAGCGUUAUCCGGAUUUAUUGGGUUUAAAGGGUGCGUAGGCGGCCUUUUAAGGAAGCGGUGAAAGUCUGUGGCUCAACCAUAGAAUUGCCGUUGAAACUGGGGGGCUUGAGUAUGUUUGAGGCAGGCGGAAUGCGUGGUGUAGCGGUGAAAUGCUUAGAUAUCACGCAGAACCCCGAUUGCGAAGGCAGCCUGCCAAGCCAUGACUGACGCUGAUGCACGAAAGCGUGGGGAUCAAACAGGAUUAGAUACCCGUGUAGUC